CACGAAGGGCACAAGCGUUACUCAGAAUCACUGGGCGUAAAGAGUGCGUAGGCGGUAUAUUAAGUUAGAUGUGAAAGCCCGGGGCUCAACCUCGGAACUGCAUUUAAAACUAGUAUACUGGAGUUUGGUAGAGAGGAAUGGAAUUUCUGGUGAAGGGGUAAAAUCCGUAGAUAUCAGAAGGAACACCGAAAGCGAAGGCAGUUCCUUGGGCCAAUACUGACGCUGAUGCACGAAAGCGUGGGGAGCAAACAGGAUUAGAUACCCUGGUAGUCCACGCCCUAAACUAUGAUUACUAAUCGUCGGGGUUUUUACUUCGGUGGUACAGCUAACGCGUUAAGUAAUCCGCCUGGGUAGUACGGCCGCAAGGCUAAAACUUAAAGGAAUUGGCGGGGACCCGCACAAGCGGUGGAGCAUCUGGUUUAAUUCGAUACUAACCGAAGAACCUUACCAUCCCUUGCAUAUAUGUAUCGGAGUUUCUCAAAAUGAGCUCUUCCUUCGGGAGGCAUAAACAGGUGAUGCAUGGUUGUCGUCAGCUCGUGUCGUGAGAUGUUGGGUUAAGUCCCUUAACGAGCGAAACCCUCGUCUUUACUUGCUAACAGGUAAUGCUGAGAACUAUAAAGAGACUGCCCGUGAAAGCGGGAGGAAGGGGAGGAUGAUGUCAAAUCAUCAUGUCCUUUAUGGGAUGGGCUACACAGGUGCUACAAUGGAGUGUACAGAGUGUCGCAAUACAGUAAUGUGGAGCUAAUCACUAAAACACCCCUCAGUACGGAUUGAGGCUUGCAACUCAGCCUCAUGAAGCUGGAAUCGCUAGUAAUCGCGGAUCAGAAUGCCGCGGUGAAUACGUUCCCGGGUCU
rnacentral:rRNA from 1 species